UAUUGACCCUUCUUUAUGUUAUCUGAAUAAAGAAUAUUGUAAAAGAAAAGGUACCCUCCCUCCUAUUGAUUCAUUGCUUUUAAAUUUCAAAAGCACUAUUUUCUUUCCAAACAAACAAGUAGAUCUUCCAAUACUGGGUUUCUCCACCUACAACAAUGGAGCACAAGAUUGACGCCAUGGCAGUGAAGAUUGAGGCCUUGGAGCAGAAGAUUAAUGGGUUGGUGAAUUGUUUGAAAACUAAUGAAGAUGUAGUUGAUCUACAAGCUAGGCUUGGCACUGAGUUGUACAAAAUAAAGAACUUGAGUGAUGUGGAUGCCUAUCGAGCCAUCAACAUUCUAGCCACAAGGCAUGAUUUGUUGAGGGUUUUCUUUGGCUUGCCUGCUCAGAUGAAGAAAUCGUAUGUUGAGAACCUUGCUACUUAUGGACCAAGAACGAUAUAGCUAUACAUAAGUUAAGCAUAAAAACAUUUUGUGAGGCCUUAGAUUUAUGCCUAACUUGUCAAGUGGAUGGAUUGUUUGUUCCAUGUCCUUUUUGUAUGCAUGCUUUUCAAUGAAUCAAUUAAGGUUGAUUCUAUUUUUUUUAGAAAUGUUAAAGAGCAUCCUAGGGCGCCUAACACCGUAUAAUAUCGCUAUUGGUGCAAAUAUAUAUCGGGUUUUACAUAUUUUAAUUUGAAUAAACUUAAAUUAAAGUAUGUGAGACUCACUAUUAAAUUACACCAAUAAUGAUAUGACCAUAGAGUGCCUUAUUGGAAAUCUCUUUUUUAUAGUCGCUUGUGAUCAACUUUAUAAAUCUAGAAUGUUAUUUAUUUGCACCUCUUCAA